GUGCCGCUAUUGCAGCCGAGACAUUUAUACUUUCCCUAGGGCUUGUGUGACUCUUGCUAUCAAGGAUGGCACUGGUUCACUCAAUGUAAUAGCCAUGGGAGAUGAGGCCGAGAAGUUAAUAGGUAUCAAUUCUCACCGUUUAUAUCAGGCUGAUAAGGAGGAUGUGCAUCUUACUGAUCGUGUGGCGAGUGCACUUAACGGAAGAGUAAUGUUGUUUUAUCUUAAGCAUUCGGACCAUGCUGUUAGGGUUACAAAGGGUGCUCGCUAUACAAUCGUCGCUUCCUAUGAC